rnacentral:rRNA from 1 species
ACGAACGCUGGCGGCGUGCUUAACUCAUGCCAGUCGAACGGAAAGGCCCUGCUUUUGUGGGGUGCUCGAGUGGCGAACGGGUGAGUAACACGUGAGUAACCUGCCCUUGACUUUGGGAUAACUUCAGGAAACUGGGGCUAAUACCGGAUAGGAGCUCCUGCUGCAUGGUGGGGGUUGGAAAGUUUCGGCGGUUGGGGAUGGACUCGCGGCUUAUCAGCUUGUUGGUGGGGUAGUGGCUUACCAAGGCUUUGACGGGUAGCCGGCCUGAGAGGGUGACCGGCCACAUUGGGACUGAGAUACGGCACAGACUCCUACGGGAGGCAGCAGUGGGGAAUAUUGCACAAUGGGCGGAAGCCUGAUGCAGCACCGCCGCGUGCGGGAUGACGGCCUUCGGGUUGUAACCCGCUUUCGCCUGUGACGAAGCGUGAGUGACGGUAAUGGGUAAAGAAGCACCGGCUAACUACGUG